GUACUUUCCUGCCUUCCUGUUAACGGUAGCAUAAUCCCGCCAUGUGUGCCAGCCCCGUGGCUGAAGGAUGCGUUCAUAUUUUCUGGAGGUAAAAGGGACCGGUUCAAUUUACAGCCUUGACUACCUCAGCAGUUUCACUAAGUUCUGGUACAUAAAUGGAUGUUUUAUUAAAGAAGAAAAGGAAGGCGGAAGGGGAGGAGGAAGAAGACGAAGAGGAAGAAAAGAAGAGAUGGAAAGGAGGUGGGAAGGAGAAUUCAUCUUUUUUCUGCUCAAUAUUAUGUCAGUGAAACCAAAUAAUAUGUUUUGGUUCCUCCCCCUGAGCAUUCCACCCAGGUAAACAAGGAACUAAGCUCACCUCUGCUGAGAGAAGCUGUGCAUGGCGAGUGGCCCCCACAUACCUGGCUGGAUGACAUCUGAGGGCUCGGAGGUCCCUGCUGCUCAGUGUGUGCCAGGAUGGUCCCACCGUCCUCACAUUCACAUUUUUUAUGGAUGAUGCGUCUUUCUGCUAAGGCAACAAAAGUGAAAACAAUCAAUAGUUCUACCCAAAUACCUGUUAUUUUAAGAAUGGGGCCAGAGU
rnacentral:lncRNA from 1 species